GGUUCAGUUCUCCAUGGCUGCAUGGACAGGUACUAUGGUCGACUUGGUUUACAGUGACCUUUAGAAAUUGGGUUUCGACAGUAGUUGGAAACCCAUCUGUAUGGAUCCAUAUGAAGCCUUCUAAGGGGCAUGUGUCUUGUUUUCUGAAGGACGAUAAACCCUACUUUCAUUGAGAAAGGUAUUGGAUCGGUAGAGAGGAUCAACGACAAAGAAAAUGGGAGGGAAAUUAUUUGUUCUUCGGCAGGCCUUCAAUUUCCGAUCGGUUUCAUCUCUGAAAAACAACGUCACUUUGAUUCCACAAGCCAAUCCUCCAGUUCGCAGCACGCCGACCUCAAUCUUCUCUCAGAUUUCAAGAACCUUGUGUUCCUCAUCCUCAGUUUCAUCGGAUACGAGACAACCAUCUCUAGCCAGGCUUCCGUUUGUGGAUGCAUUCUUGGCAAAGGCGAAGAACAAUAAAAGUCUUUUAUCAAACAGGAAGAUUUAUUCGCGUAGAUCUACCAUUUUGCCCGAAUUCGUUGAUCAAACUGUACGGAUUUACAAUGGGAAAAAUUUUGUUCGCUGCAAGAUCACUGAAGGCAAGGUUGGUCAUAAGUUUGGCGAGUUUGCCUUAACUCGUAAAAGAAAACAUUUGAGGAGCAAGGCUGAGCCUGCAAAAAAGAAGGGCAAAAAAUAAGCAUUUGCAACCAAAGAUCACAUCUCAUUUCGCGAAGGUCUCCAUAUCAUUACUUACCAAGCUUUGUGUCUAAGUGAUAUGGAAGACUCGAUCGGCCAUUCGAUUGUAAUGGUUGAUUGGUUGAUUUUGGCUCUUGUCUUUUUUUCCCAGAGAGAGUGGUGAUUCAGGAGAAAUAUGGGCUGAAAGGAAAGCAAUGAAACAAGGAAGAAAAUGGUUUUGAAGUCUCAUUUCUUUUGUUAAAUGAUUGUAGGGUUUUGUUUGGUCAGCUCUUGGCCUGCACAAUUGUUAUGAAAAAUUGAUGUUUUUAGUUAUCCUUACAUAUGGUAUACUGAUCAGAACUCAGAAUUAUCAGUUGACAAACAACGGUUGGGUUUUAGUUUUACAAUAAAAUUGUUGAAUUGAGA